rnacentral:rRNA from 1 species
AUUGAACGCUGGCGGCAGGCCUAACACAUGCAAGUCGAGCGAGCGGCGGACGGGUGAGUAAUGUCUGGGAAACUGCCUGAUGGAGGGGGAUAACUAUUGGAAACGGUAUCUAAUACCGCAUAUCCUAUGAUGUGCCCAGAUGGGAUUAGCGAGUAGGGGGGGUAAUGGCGCACCUAGGCGACGCUCCCUAGCUGGUCUGAGAGGAUGACCAGCCACACGGGAACUGAGACACGGUCCAGACUCCUACGGGAGGCAGCAGUGGGGAAUAUUGCACAAUGGGCGCAAGCCUGAUGCAGCCAUGCCGCGUGUAUGAAGAAGGCCUUCGGGUUGUAAAGUACUUUCAGCGAGGAGGCGUUACUCGCAGAAGAAGCACCGGCUAACUCCGUGCCAGCCGCCGCGGUAAUAC